UGGGAAUUUUGGACGAAUUGGGCGAAGCUGAUCCAGCAAUGCCGCGUGUGUGAAGAAGGCCUUCGGGUUGUAAAGCACUUUUGUCCGGAAAGAAAUCCUUGGCUCUAAUACAGUCGGGGGAUGACGGUACCGGAAGAAUAGGCACCGGCUAACUACGUGCCAGCAGCCGCGGUAAUACGUAGGGUGCAAGCGUUAAUCGGAAUUACUGGGCGUAAAGCGUGCGCAGGCGGUUUGCUAAGACCGAUGUGAAAUCCCCGGGCUCAACCUGGGAACUGCAUUGGUGACUGGCAGGCUAGAGUAUGGCAGAGGGGGGUGAGAAUUCCACGUGUAGCAGUGAAAUGCGUAGAGAUGUGGAGGAAUACCGAUGGCGAAGGCAGCCCCCU
rnacentral:rRNA from 1 species